GGAUCUGCUCCAUCAAUCGAGGCAUCCAUACGAAUUGCAUGGUAUCCUUGAAUUUUUUGCUGUUGACAUCACACUGGAGCUGCUUUGCCUGCUUCUGAACUCGGGUUCUCCAGUAGUUUUUUAUCUCAUUAUCUGUUCUUCCAGGCAAGUGUUGCGCUAUCUUCGACCACCUAAAUUUUAAAUUGCCAUUACACACACCUUCAGUACUACUCAUGUUUAUAAUUACUGUUUCUAUAUGUACAUAUAUAUACACACACACACACACACACACGAUCUGUUUUAGGAAUUAAUAUUACCUGUUGCCCCAGCGUGAAUGGAGUUCCAGAAUCAACAACUGUUCUUGGAGAGUAAUGUUCCCACGUCUAACAUCUGGGCGCAAGUAAUUUAACCAUCUUAGUCUGCAACUUUUUCCUGUUCUUUUAAGCCCUGCAUACACAACUCAAUCAAUAUAUACAUACAUAUCAUAUAUAUACACGCACCCAAGGAAUAUUUUAUAAAGGGG
rnacentral:lncRNA from 1 species